CAGACAAUAUGUUCAAUAGAUAUAGCUUUGAUAUUACCAACGUGGUCAGGGACGUGAACUCCAUUGAGCUGCGUUUCCAGUCAGCGGUGUUGUAUGCAGCACAGCAGAGCAAAGCUCACACUCGCUACCAGGUUCCCCCAGACUGCCCUCCACUUGUGCAGAAGGGUGAAUGCCAUGUCAACUUUGUUCGGAAGGUAAUGGUCUCUCAAACAGGUCAGGUUUUAUUUUUGAGGACGGGGUGUGCUGGCAUAUGAAAUGCUUAUUUGAAGACUCCCAUGGCAUUUCAGAAGUUAGGAAUCUCUUUCCUGAUCCCUUUAGUGGGGUUUGAAAAUUUGAAAUAAGAACCAAAAGAUUAUUUGAAAUAUUGUGGAGAAUCUUUAUCUUUUUCUAAGUUUUCUUCCUGAAGCGUGUUCAGAACUUAGGUAACAGAAAAAGAAAGGAAAAGAAAAAUAUGUGGCUGAUAAUGGAACUUUACAAAUUAUUUUUUUAACAUUUAAGUUUAUCAAACUUUUCACCAGAUUGUGAAAAUGUAUUAGUGAUUCUUGUUUCUAGGAAGCCCUCUGCAAAUAUUAGUAUAUUUGAUGAUAUGUUCUUGCAUCUUACUGUCAGGUUCUCAUAAAAUCUAACAAAAAGAUAACAAAGUCCACAAAAGUAAUUAUUUUUCUUAGAGUAUGAUUCCAGUCUAAGAGGACUUGGAU
rnacentral:sRNA from 1 species